rnacentral:lncRNA from 1 species
CUCUUGAUUAUUAUCCACUUCUAUAGGAAGAAGCGACAUUUAUUUCUUUUCCAAGAUAUUUACUAUCUUAUAUGGCUUAAAAAGAGAUAUAUGGAAUAUGAGAUGGAUCUUUAUAGACUUCAAUAGAUAUAAUCAAUAAGCAAGAAGAUUGAUUUAUUCACUAAUAAGAAAAGAUUCAAGUCUACUAUAGUCCAACUUAUUACAAAGAAAAGUAGUCUUAAUAUUACAACAAAGUAAUCAUAUCUUGUCACCCAUGCUAAAUUAUGAUUAUUCUUUGUAAUAGGCAUCUACAAUAAUCUUUUGUUAUUUUUGAAUUUUCUUUAACUGUACCUUUAUUGUUGUAUGUAGCUUUGACAAA